rnacentral:rRNA from 1 species
CCUACGGGCGGCAGCAGUGAGGAAUAUUGGUCAAUGGACGGAAGUCUGAACCAGCCAAGUAGCGUGCAGGAUGACGGCCCUCCGGGUUGUAAACUGCUUUUAGUUGGGAAUAAAAAAAGGGACGUGUCCCUUAUUGUAUGUACCUUCAGAAAAAGGACCGGCUAAUUCCGUGCCAGCAGCCGCGGUAAUACGGAAGGUCCAGGCGUUAUCCGGAUUUAUUGGGUUUAAAGGGAGCGUAGGCGGAUUGUUAAGUCAGCGGUUAAAGGGUGUGGCUCAACCAUACAUUGCCGUUGAAACUGGCGAUCUUGAGUGCAGACAGGGAUGCCGGAAUUCGUGGUGUAGCGGUGAAAUGCUUAGAUAUCACGAAGAACUCCGAUCGCGAAGGCAGGUGUCCGGGCUGCAACUGACGCUGAGGCUCGAAAGU